CAGAAGAAGCACCGGGCUAACUCCGUGCCAGCAGCCGCGGUUAUACGGAGGGUGCGAGCGUUAAUCGGGAAUUACUGGGCGUAAAGCGCAUGCAGGGUGGUUUGUUAAGUCAGAUGUGAAAGCCCGGGGGCUCAACCUCGGAAUAGCAUUUGAAACUGGCAGACUAGAGUACUGUAGAGGGGGGUAGAAUUUCAGGUGUAGCGGUGAAAUGCGUAGAGAUCUGAAGGAAUACCGGUGGCGAAGGGCGGCCCCCUGGACAGAUACUGACACUCAGAUGCGAAAGCGUGGGGGAGCAAACAGGAUUAGAUACCCUGGUAGUCCACGCCGUAAACGAUGUCUACUUGGAGGUUGUGGCCUUGAGCCGUGGCUUUCGGAGCUAACGCGUUAAGUAGACCGCCUGGGGAGUACGGUCGCAAGAUUAAAACUCAAAUGAAUUGACGGGGGCCCGCACAAGCGGUGGAGCAUGUGGUUUAAUUCGAUGCAACGCGAAGAACCUUACCUACUCUUGACAUCCAGAGAACUUUCCAGAGAUGGAUUGGUGCCUUCGGGAACUCUGAGACAGGUGCUGCAUGGCUGUCGUCAGCUCGUGUUGUGAAAUGUUGGGUUAAGUCCCGCAACGAGCGCAACCCUUAUCCUUGUUUGCCAGCGAGUAAUGUCGGGAACUCCAGGGAGACUGCCGGUGAUAAACCGGAGGAAGGUGGGGACGACGUCAAGUCAUCAUGGCCCUUACGAGUAGGGCUACACACGUGCUACAAUGGCGCAUACAGAGGGCGGCCAACUUGCGAAAGUGAGCGAAUCCCAAAAAGUGCGUCGUAGUCCGGAUUGGAGUCUGCAACUCGACUCCAUGAAGUCGGAAUCGCUAGUAAUCGUGGAUCAGAAUGCCACGGUGAAUACGUUCCCGGGCCUUGUACACACCGCCCGUCACACCAUGGGAGUGGGCUGCAAAAGAAGUAGGUAGUU
rnacentral:rRNA from 1 species